rnacentral:rRNA from 1 species
GUGGGGAAUCUUGCGCAAUGGGCGAAAGCCUGACGCAGCCAUGCCGCGUGAAUGAUGAAGGUCUUAGGAUUGUAAAAUUCUUUCACCGGGGACGAUAAUGACGGUACCCGGAGAAGAAGCCCCGGCUAACUUCGUGCCAGCAGCCGCGGUAAUACGAAGGGGGCUAGCGUUGCUCGGAAUUACUGGGCGUAAAGGGCGCGUAGGCGGACAGUUUAGUCAGAGGUGAAAGCCCAGGGCUCAACCUUGGAAUUGCCUUUGAUACUGGCUGUCUUGAGUUUGGGAGAGGUGAGUGGAACUCCGAGUGUAGAGGUGAAAUUCGUAGAUAUUCGGAAGAAAACCAGUGGCGAAGGCGACUCACUGGCCCAAUACUGACGCUGAGGCGCGAAAGCGUGGGGAGCAAACAGGAUUAGAUACCCCAGUAGUCC